AUUGAACGCUGGCGGCAUGCUUUACACAUGCAAGUCGAACGGUAACAGGCCUUCGGGUGCUGACGAGUGGCGAACGGGGGAGUAAUGCAUCGGAACGUGCCCAGUGGCUGGGGGUAACGCAGCGCAAGCUGAGUUAAUACCGCAUGUGAUCUGAUGAUGAAAGCGGGGGAGCAAACUGCAAUGAUUGGCCUCGCGCCUCUGGAACGGCCGAUGCCGGAUUAGGUAGUUGGUGGGGUAAAGGCCUACCAAGCCGACGAUCCGUAGCUGGUCUGAGAGGACGACCGGCCACACUGGGACUGAGACACGGCCCAGACUCCUACGGGAGGCAGCAGUAGGGAAUUUUGGACAAUGGGCGCAAGCCUGAUCCAGCAAUGCCGCGUGCGGGAAGAAGGCCUUCGGGUUGUAAACCGCUUUUGUACGGAACGAAAAGGCUCUGGCUAAUACCUGGGGCUGAUGACGGUACCGUAAGAAUAAGCACCGGCUAACUACGUG
rnacentral:rRNA from 1 species